ACCCAUAUCAUUGGGAGACCUUCAUAAGC
rnacentral:piRNA from 1 species